rnacentral:rRNA from 1 species
AUUGAACGCUGGCGGCAAGCCUAACACAUGCAAGUCGCACGAGUGGCGGACGGGUGAGUAAUGUCUGGGAAACUUCCUGAUGGAGGGGGAUAACUACUGGAAAAGGUAGCUAAUACCGCAUUCCAUCGGUUGUGACCAUAUGGGAUGAGCUAGUAGGGGGGGUAAAGGCUCACCUAGGCAACGAUCCCUAGCUGGGCUGAGAGGAUGACCAGCCAAACGUGAACUGAGACAAGGCCCAGACUCCUACGGGAGGCAGAAGGGGGAAAUAUUGCACAAUGGGCGCAAGCCUGAUGCAGCCAUGCCGCGUGUAUGAAGAAGGCCUUCGGGUUGUAAAGUACGUUCAGCGGGGAGGCGUUACCCGCAGAAGAAGCACCGGCUAACUCCGUGCCAGCAGCCGCGGUAAUUC